AACACCCGUAGUGUGCCCUAUGUCCUAGGGAAAGGUCAGAUUUAAGACAGGAUCUUCUCAGCAGUGCUCUGUGUUCUGUGGAAGCCCUAGCCUGGGGUGCAUCAGCACUGCUCAUCAGCUUGGGAUAUUCUGUGGUUCUGUGAAGAAGAUAUUUGGAUGUUUUCAAACCAGACUUUGCUCCAGGAGGUGCUCUGAGAAGGGCUCAGAGCCUGUCCCAAGAAAGGAUUCCUAGUGGGAUAUUUCCUGUUCACAUUGCUGUCUUUCUCAUGAGAAUCCACUCUUAAACACCAUGCCUCCCUGUAGGCUCUGACAGAUGGUGGCAUCCUACUGGACUCUGACUGAGGAAAGCAAGAAAGAGCUAACUCCAUGAGACAGUACUGGUGGUGCAGAGUGUGAGGAGUAACCCACAGC